rnacentral:lncRNA from 1 species
CCGCAACUUUCUGUAUCCACGAGGUCCCAUCUUGGGGCUUGUUCCGGAGCUCCGCCGGAAGAGGGCCGUCAUCACGGAGGGCUUCUACAUCAUCAUAGCCCCUCCGAUGAAGUGUGAGUAGUUUACCUCAGACCUUUGGGUCCAUAGUUAGUAGCUAGAUGGCUUCUUCUCUCUCUUUGAAUCUCAAUACAAAGUUCUCCCCCUCUCUUAUGGAGAUCUAUUCGAUGUAAUCUUCUUUUUGCGGUGUGUUUUUUGAGACCGAUGAAUUGUGGGUUUAUGAUCAAGUCUAUCUAUGAAUAAUAUUUAAAUCUUCUCUGAAUUCUUUUAUGCAUGAUUGGUUAUCUUUGCAAGUCUCUUCGAAUUAUCCGUUUGGUUGGCCAACUAGAUUGGUAGUUCUUGCCAUGGGAGAAGUGCUUAGCUUUGGGUUCGAUCUUGCGGUGUCCUUACCCAGUGACAGAAGGGGCAGCAAGGCACGUAUUGUAUCGUUGCCAUCGAGGAUAACAAGAUGGGGUUUAUUUCAUAUUGCAUGAAUUUAUCUCUCUACAUCAUGUCAUCUUGCUUAAGGCGUUACUCUGUUUUUAACUUAAUACUCUAGAUGCAUGCUGGAUAGCGGUCGAUGAGUGGAGUAAUAGUAGUAGCUGCAGAAUCGUUUCGAUCUACUUGUCACGGACGUGCUGCCUAUAUACAUGAUCAUGCCUAGAUAUUCUCAUAAUUAUGCAUAAUUCUAUCAAUUGCUCAACAGUAAUUUGUUCACCCACCGUAGAAUACUUAUGCUCUUGAGAGAAGCCACUAGUGAAACCUAUGGCCCCCGGGUCUAUUCUCAUCAUAUCAAUCUCCAUCACUUUUAUAUUGUUUUUUUAUUUACUUUGCCUUUACUUUUUACUUUGCUUCUCUAUAUCAAAAAUACCAAAAAUAUUCUAUCUAUCAGAUCUCACUCUCGUAAGUGAUCGUGAAGGGCUUGACAACCCCUAAUCGCGUUGGUUGCGAGUAGCUAUCGCUUUGUGCAGGUACAAGGGACUUGAGCGUGGGCUCCUACUGGAUUGAUACCUUGGUUCUCAAAAACUGAGGGAAAUACUUAUGCUACUCUGCUGCAUCAUCCCUUCCUCUUCGGGGAAAACCAACGCAAGCUCAAGACGUAGCAAGAAGGAUUUUUGGCGCCGUUGCCGGGGAGUCUAUGCAAAAAGUCAAUAUACCAAGUACCCAUCACAAUCCCUAUCUCUCUCAUUACAUUAUCUGCCAUUUGCCUCUCGUUUUCCUCUCCCCCCAAUUCACCCUUGCCGUUUUAUUUGCCCUCUCUCUCUAUCCUCCCUCUCUGUUUGCCUCUUUUUGUCGCUUGCUUUUUGUUUGCUCGUGUGUUAGAUUGCUUGUUUGUCGCGAUGGCUCAAGAUACUACCAAAUUGUGUGACUUCACCAAUACCAAUAAUAAUGAUUUCCUUAACACUCCGAUUGCUCCUCUUACUGAUGCUGAAUCUUGUGAAAUUAAUACUGCUUUGUUGAGUCUUGUUAUGAAAGAUCAAUUCGCCGGCCUUCCUAGUGAAGAUGCCGCUACUCAUCUGAAUAGCUUCGUUGAUUUAUGUGAUAUGCAAAAGAAAAAAGAUGUCAAUAAUGAUGUCGUUAAAUUGAAGCUAUUUCAUUUUUUGCUUAGAGAUCGUGCUAAAGCUUGGUUUUCGUCUUUGCCUAAGAAUAGUAUUGAUUCAUGGAACAAAUGCAAAGAUGCUUUUAUCUCUAAGUAUUUUUCCCCUGCUAAGAUCAUCUCUCUUAGAAACGAUAUAAUGAACUUUAAACAACUUGAUCAUGAACAUGUUGCACAAGCUUGGGAUAUAAUGAAAUUAAUGAUACGUAAUUGCCUUACUCAUGGUUUGAAUUUGUGGAUGAUUAUACAAAAAAUUUAUGCCGGAUUGAAUUUUGCUUCUAGAAACCUUUUAGAUUCGGCCGCGGGAGGCACUUUUAUGGAAAUCACUUUAGGAUAUGCUACUAAACUCCUAGAUAAUAUUAUGGUUAAUUAUUCUCAAUGGCAUACUGAAAGAACUUCUAAUAAAAAAGUGCAUGCGAUAGAAGAAAUUAAUGUGUUGAGUGGAAAGAUGGAUGAACUUAUGAAAUUAUUUGCUACUAAGAGUGUUUCUUCUGAUCCAGAUUAUAUGCCUUUGUCUACUUUGAUUGAUAAUAACAAUGAAUCUAUGGAUGUGAAUUUUGUUGGUAGGAAUAAUUUUGGUAACAAUGCUUAUAGAAGGAAUUUUAAUCCUAGGCCAUAUCCUAGUAAUCCUUGUAAUAAUUAUGGGAAUUCCUACAACAACUCUUAUGGAAAUUAUAAUAAGAUGCCCUCUGAUUUUGAAUCUAAUAUUAAAGAAUUUAUUUCUUCGCAAAAGAAUUUUAAUACUAUGAUUGAAGAAAAAUUGCUUAGGAUUGAUGAUUUGGCUAGGAACGUUGAUAGAAUUGCUCUUGAUGUUGAUGAUUUGAAACUUAGAUCUAUUCGACCUAAGCAUGAUAUUAAUGAGUUUCUAAAAACCAUGAGAAUUUCAGUUGAUGAGUGUAAAGAAAGAACCACUAGGAUGCGUGCUUCCAAAGAUGCCUUUAUUAAAGCAUGUUCUUCUAAUUCUUAUGAAAAUCAAGAUGAAGAUCUAAAAGUUAUUGAUGUGUCUCCUAUUAAAUCUUUAUUUUGCAAUAUGAAUCUUGAUGAAACUGAAUAUGAUCUUCCUUUACCUAGAAGGCGUUCUAAAAAUUCGGAGUGUUUAGAUCUUAAUGAUGAAAUUGAUGAAAGUGGGAUGGAAAGAAAUAAAAAUCUACAUGUUGCUAAACCCACUAUUUUGGAUUUCAAGGAAUUUAAUUAUGAAAAUUGCUCUUUGAUUGAUUGUAUUUCCUUGUUGCAAUCCGUGCUAAAUUCUCCACACGCUUAUAGUCGAAAUAAAGCCUUCACCGAACAUAUUGUUGAUGCCUUGAUGCAAUCUUAUGAAGAAAAACUUGAGUUGAAAGUUUCUAUCCCUAGAAAAAUCUAUGAUGAGUGGGAACCAACUAUUAAUAUUAAAAUUAAAGAUCAUGAGUUUUAUGCUUUGUGUGAUUUGGGUGCUAGUGUCUCUACUAUUCCCAAGACUUUGUGUGAUUUACUAGAUUUCCGUAAUUUUGAUAAUUGCUCUCUAAACUUGCAUCUUGCGGAUUCCACUAUUAAGAAACCUAUGGGAAGAAUUAAUGAUGUUCUUAUUGUUGCAAAUAGGAAUUAUGUGCUUGUAGAUUUCAUUGUUCUUGAUAUAGAUUGCAAUCCUUCCUGCCCUAUUUUUCUUGGUAGACCUUUCCUUAGAACGGUUGGUGCGAUUAUUGAUAUGAAGGAAGGGAAUAUUAGAUUUCAAUUUCCAUUAAAAAGGGCAUGGAACACUUUCCAAGAAAGAAAAUAAAAUUACCAUAUGAAACUAUCAUGAGAGCCACUUACGGAUUGCUUACCAAAGAUGGCAAUACCUAUAUCUAUUCUUGCUCGUUAUGCCUAGCUAGGGGCGUUAAACGAUAACCCUUGUUGGGAGGCAACCCAAUUUUUUUUUGUUCCUUGCUUUUUGCUCCUGUUUAGUAAUAAAUAAAUUAUUUAGCCUCUGUUUUGGUUGUGUUUUUUUGUGUUCAAUUAGUGUUUGUUCCAAGUAGAACCGUUGGGAAGACUUGGGGAAAGUCUUGUUGAACUUGCUGUAAAAAACAGAAACUUUAGCGCUCAAGAGAACUACUGUCAUUUUUAUUUGAAGAGUGCUAUGUAGUUAAUUCUUUUUGAAGAUGAUUAAUAGAUAAAUUCCUCACGUCCAGAAGUUUAUUUUGGAAUUUUUGGGGUUCCAGAUUUCGCGCUAGCUAAAGAUUAAUACAGACUGUUCUGUUUUUGACAGAUUCUGUUUUUCGUGUGUUGUUUGCUUAUUUUGAUGAAUCUAUGGCUACUAAAAUAGUUUAUAAUCCAUAGAGAAGUUGGAAUACAGUAGGUUUAACACCAAUACAAAUAAAGAAUAAGUUCAAUACAGUAACUUGAAGUGGUCUUUUGUUUUCUUUCGCUAACGGAGCUCACGAGUUUUCUAUCUUGAGUUUUGUGUUGUGAAGUUUUCAAGUUUUGGGUGAAUUCUUUUGAUGGAUCAUGGAACAAGGAGUGAAAGAGCCUAAGCUUGGGGAUGCCCAUGGCACCCCCAAGAUAAUCCAAGGACACCAAAAAUUCAAAGCUUGGGGAUGCCCCGGAAGGCAUCCCCUCUUUUUUGUCCACUUCCAUCGGUAAUUUACUUGGAGCUAUAUUUUUAUUCACCAACAUGAUAUGUGUUUUGCUUGGAGCGUCUUGUAUUAUUUGUGUCUUUGUUUGUUAGUAUGCCACAAUCAUCCUUGCUGUACACACCUUUUGAGAGAUCCAUACAUGAAUUAAAAUUUGAUAGAAUACUCUAUGUGCUUCACUUAUAUCUUUUGAGCUAGAUAAUUUUGCUCUAUGUGCUUCACUUAUAUCCUUUUGAGCUAGAUAAUUUUGCUCUGUGUGCUUCACUUAUAUCCUUUGAGCUAGAUAUUUUUGCUCUAUGUGCUUCACUUAUAUCUUUUGAGCUAGAUAAUUUUGCUCUAUGUGCUUCACUUAUAUCCUUUUGAGCUAGAUAAUNNNNNNNNNNNNNNNNNNNNNNNNNNNNNNNNNNNNNNNNNNNNNNNNNNNNNNNNNNNNNNNNNNNNNNNNNNNNNNNNNNNNNNNNNNNNNNNNNNNNNNNNNNNNNNNNNNNNNNNNNNNNNNNNNNNNNNNNNNNNCGUCUUGUAUUAUUUGUGUCUUUGUUUGUUAGUAUGCCACAAUCAUCCUUGCUGUACACACCUUUUGAGAGAUCCAUACAUGAAUUAAAAUUUGAUAGAAUACUCUAUGUGCUUCACUUAUAUCUUUUGAGCUAGAUAAUUUUGCUCUAUGUGCUUCACUUAUAUCCUUUUGAGCUAGAUAAUUUUGCUCUAUGUGCUUCACUUAUAUCCUUUGAGCUAGAUAGUUUUGCUCUAUGUGCUUCACUUAUAUCUUUUGAGCUAGAUAAUUUUGCUCUAUGUGCCUCACUUAGAUCUUUUAGAGCACGGUGGUGGAUUCGUUUUAAAGAAACUAUUGAUCUCUCAUGCUUCACUUAAAUUAAUUUGAGAGUCUCUUAAUAGCAUGGUAAUUUGCCUAAUAAUAAUAUGCUUGGUAUUCAAGAUUUGUGAAACUUUCUUUUGAGUGUGUUGAAUACUAAGAAAAGAUUGAAGCAUGAUAAUUGUUUUGAGAUAUGGAGGUGAUAAUAUUAAAGUCAUGCUAGUUGAGUAGUUGUGGAUUUAAAGAAUACUUGUGUUGAAGUUUGUGAUUCCCGUAGCAUGCACGUAUGGUGAACCGUUAUGUGAUGAAGUCGGAGCAUGAUUUAUUUAUUGAUUGUCUUCCUUAUGAGUGGUGGCCGGGGACGAGCGAUGGUCUUUUCCUACCAAUCUAUCCCCCUAGGAGCAUGCGCGUAAUACUUUGCUUUGAUAACUUCUAAAUUUUUGCAAUAAGUAUAUGAGUUCUUUAUGACUAAUGUUGAGUCCAUGGAUUAUACGCACUCCCACCCUUCCACCCUUGCUAGCCUCUCUAAUACCGCGCACCUUUUGCCGGUAUCAUACACCUACCAUAUACCUUCCUCAAAACAGCCACCAUACCUACCUAUUAUGAAAUUUCCAUAUUCCAAGAUAUAUUGCCAUGCAACUUUUCACCAUCUAGUUCAUCAUGACACAUCCAUCAUUGUCAUAUUUAGCAUGAUCAUGUAGUUGACAUAGUAUUUGUGGCAAAGCCACCGUUCAUAAUUCUUUCAUACUUGUCACUCUUGAUUUAUUGCAUAUCCCGGUACACCGCCGGAGGCAUUCAUAUAGAGUCAUACUUUGUUUUAGUAUCGAGUUGUAAUCAUUGAGUUGUAAAUAAAUAGAAGUGUGAUGAUCAUCAUUCAAUAGAGCAUUGUCCCAAAAAAGAGAGAAAGGACAAAGAAAAAAAGAAGGCCCAAAAAAAUAUAAAUAAAUAAAAAAGGGGCAAUGCUACUAUCCUUUUUUCCACACUUGUGCUUCAAAGUAGCACCAUGAUAUAGCAAGUCUCAUAUAUUGUGCUUCAAAGUAGCACCAUGUUCUUCAUAUAGAGAGUCUCAUAUUUUGUCACUUUCAUACACUAGUGGGAAUUUUAUGUUAUAGAACAUGGCUUGUAUAUUCCAAUGAUGGGCUUCCUCAAAUUGCCCUAGGUCUUCGUGAGAAAGCAAGUUGGAUGCACACCCACUAGUUUCUUUUGUUGAGCUUUCAUACAUUUAUAGCUCUAGUGCAUCCGUUGCAUGGAAAUCCCUACUCACUCACAUUGAUAUCUAUUGAUGGGCAUCUCCAUAGCCCGUUGAUACGCCUAGUUGAUGUGAGACUAUCUUCUCCUUUUUGUCUUCUCCACAACCACCAUUCUAUUCCACCUAUAGUGCUAUAUCCAUGGCUCACGCUCAUGUAUUGCGUGAAGAUUGAAUUUUUUUUGAAAAAGUUAGAGUAUGAAACAAUUGCUUGGCUUGUCAUCGGGGUUGUGCAUGAUUUAAAUAUUUUGUGUGGGGAAGAUGGAGCAUAGCCAGACUAUAUGAUUUUGUAGGGAUAACUUUCUUUGUCCAUGUUAUUUUGAGAAGACAUAAUUGCUUUGUUAGUAUGCUUGAAGUAUUAUUAUUUUCUAUGUCAAUAUAAACUUUUGUCUUGAAUCUUUCUAAUCUGAAUAUUCAUACCACAAUUAAGAAGAUUUGCAUUGAAAUUAUGCCAAGUAGCACUCCGCAUCAAAAAUUCUCUUUUUAUCAUUUACCUACUCAAGGACGAGCAGGAAUUAAGUUUGGGGAUGCCUGAUACGUCUCCAAUGUAUCUAUAAUUUUUGAUUGAUCCAUGCUAUAUUAUCUACUGUUUUGGACUAUAUUGGGCUUUAUUUUCCAAUUUUAUAUUAUUUUUGGGAAAAACCUAUUAACCGGAGGCCCAGCCCAGAAUUGUUGUUUUUUUGCCUAUUUUAGUGCUUCGGAUAAACGGAAUAUCAAACGAAGUCCAAACGGAAUAAAAUCUUCGGAAACAUGAUUUUCUCACCGAACGCGAUCCAGGAGACUUGGACCCUACUGCAAGGGAUCAAAGAGGAGGUCACGAGGGUGGGGGGCGCCCCCCCUAGGGCGCGCCGCCAGCCUCGUGGGCCCCUUGGUGCUCCACCGACGUACUCCUUCCUCCUAUAUAUACACACGUACACCCAAAAGAUCAGAACAGGAGCCAAAAACGUAAUUCCACCACCGCAACUUUCUAUAUCCACGAGAUCCCAUCUUGGGGCCUAUUCCGGAGCUCCGCCGGAAGAGGGCCGUCAUCAUGGAGGGAUUCUACAUCAUCAUAGCCCCUCCGAUGAAGUGUGAGUAGUUUACCUCAGACCUUCGGGUCCAUAGUUAGUAGCUAGAUGGCUUCUUCUCUCUCUUUGAAUCUCAAUACAAAGUUCUCCCCCUCUCUUGUGGAGAUCUA